AAGUCGUAACACGGUUUCCGUAGGUGAACGGUUUUUGCAGGUUCGCCAGAAUUAAAAGUCUGCUGAGCAGGCAACAUCUCUACUGUGCUAGGAUUUACUAUUAAAGUAAUACCAGCAGCCUAGACAUAGGCUCACAGAUCAAAUGGAGAUGGCCCUAAUGGGUUGAGAGUUGAUCGGGGGGUUGCUAUAAGUAGCAGCCAUACUUCCGCUGCGGAAGGAUCAUUACCGAGAAAAUGCCCUUCAGGGUAUAUCUCCCACCCUUUGUUUAUAAUACCAUUGUUGCUUUGGCAGGCCCGUCUU
rnacentral:misc_RNA from 1 species